UACGGAGGGUGCAAGCGUUAUCCGGAUUCAUUGGGUUUAAAGGGUGCGUAGGAGGGCAGGUAAGUCAGUGGUGAAAUCCCCGAGCUUAACUUGGGAACUGCCGUUGAUACUAUCUGUCUUGAAUAUCGUGGAGGUGAGCGGAAUAUGUCAUGUAGCGGUGAAAUGCUUAGAUAUGACAUAGAACACCAAUUGCGAAGGCAGCUCGCUACACGAAAUAUUGACUCUGAGGCACGAAAGCGUGGGGAUCAAACAGG
rnacentral:rRNA from 1 species